GUGCGAGAGGGGGGAGAGGCAGGGGAAAACUGCAGAGAGCGAGAAGAAAAGUGCGAUAGAAGCCCAGCCCCGGGUUGGUUUGCGCUAGAUUAUUUUAGCAACAAAAUACCUUCCGAUUAACCGCGAUGUUUAGUGUCUGAUUUAUGCGCUGAAUUAUUUAUUUAAAUCGCCGGCUAUCGCUGUUGCGGCGAAGAGUAUGCGAGUCCGGGGGCACGGAGAGCUACAGCGUACGGGGGGGCGCGCAAAGUUGAUCUUCCCCGGGAAGCGAGCCUGCUCCGGCCAAGUACGCGCCUCUCCGCCAGCAUGUUAUGUUGCAAGUGUGGUUUCUUUCCUUUGACAAUUCAUUGUGCUUUUCUAAAAAUUAAUUUUCCAGGGCAUGACGAGAAAGCCUCAUUCAAACCGUGUUUGGCACCGCUCUUCAUAAAGUGAUCGCUGCUAUCAAGCGCGCUGUGGAUGUCUUGGGGGGAGAUGCUCAGGGGGGGGAAGAGGGGGAAAUCCCUUUUUAGUUUUGCGAUUAGGCUGCCAGGCUUUGAAAAGGGCUUAAAAACAAAGUCAUGCUCAGCCUUUUGUAGGAGAGAUCCAGAUGUUAUGUAGAUUUUUGUUUGCAUGUUCUUUUUGAGCGGAUCCGGCGGCGAGCGCUGUAUUUACGUGUGUAUGUUGCUGGACUUUGCCGUAUAUCGACGCUGCGCUUGUGGAAUGCGUGCUGAAGUAUUAGUUCGAGGAUCUCCUCCAAGAUUAAAGCUAGUCCUAAGAACAACCGAAUUGCUGUGACUGACUUUCACGGGACUGUAAAGAGAGGUGAGUAAAAAUGCCCUUAGUAUGUAGAUCUCUUUCAAGCAGUGGUUAAGUCGAUUCAUUUCACAGGGAAAAAGCCAGUCUUCUUGUGCAGUAUUUUAUACUCUGUCGUAUAAAUCGGUAACGUAAUUCAAGAUAUUCAUGGUAAUGAAUGCUUGGCUAAUCCUUUGGGUGCACGGAGACCUACAGAGCAGUAGGUUAUGCAAAUCCUUUCCUACUUUUACAGCUGUAGUUUUCUAACAGAUUUUUUAAGAGAUCUAGUAAUCGGUGAAAGCUAUUUGGUUUUUUCUCUCCCACUCACCCUUUGCCCCAAAGAUGCCAGAUUUCUAAACGUGCAUGGAAUCAUUUGGUUGUGAAUACAGCCCAUACAGCCACCUUAGAUAAUGUAUUUUAAAUAUUUGUAGCUUUCAAACUUGUUUUUUAACUAAGGCAGUGCAAACCUACAGUCUUGCCACUUGAGAUAUAGAAGUGUGUCUUAUUUCAAAUAGCUUCAAAUAGAAGAGGUCUUUCCAUGUAAUGUGGCCGUGCAAAAGUAAUCUAGCUCUAUUGAAGGCUCUAUAUAUUUGUUCGGAUCUCAAGCUAUAGGAGAGGUUUAUAGUUUUUAUUCUCAAAAAGAAGUUUUUAGAUGACUUGUCUGCCAUAGAAGAAAGAUCUUAAUUGCUAUGAAUUUAAUUUUAGACCUGAUUUCUUUUUCAUAAUUCUGUUUUUCAUGUAAGUCCCUGUAGGUCUUGGUUUUAUUGACUAAGAAAUUGUUAGAAAGCAAUCUAAAAUCAAAGCUGCAAAAAAAGCAGCCAAAGGUUUUUGCAGUGUUCAGUGCUGCUUCUUUCACCUUUUUUUUUUUUUUUUUUUUCCCUUGUCCCUCCUAAACUAAUUAACCCCCUGCGUUGGCUUGUCCUGCUGUGCAUGUGUGUAAUCUGGGACAGGGAUCAACUUUAAAAAUUAUUUUAACUUGAUAGAAAGUGAAAUUUCAUAUGGUAAAUGAAGGGCUUUCAUGUUCCUCUUGUGUCUUUUUUUCCCCGUGAAAAGAGUUGAAGCCCUUUUCCUCUUCACUAUCCCAGUGGAUUAAAGCACAGAGAGAACAUGGUUUAUAAAGCGCUACAGUUUAGCCAUUAAAAAAGGAAUCUCAUUUUAGCGCCUUUAAAUGAAAGUACUCAGCUAUUAACAAAGAUGCUGUUGGGCACUCAGAGGAAAAUGGGAUACGUGCAAGCAGGGGGUGAGGGCUUCCACAUUCUUAGGUCAUUUUUUAUUUUUUCCCAGUCUAGUGACAUAUUUCUUUAAAAGCAUAGUAAUUCGGGAAAACUAAAUUGCCAAUUUCCAUUUCUCGUGCAUCACUUUCACAGCGAAGGCUGUUUCCAGGAAAAGUGUGAGAGACGAGUCGGUGGGGAGCGUGUGUGUGUGUUUUGGCUUUUUUUUUUUUUUUUUUUUUAACAUCGGCUCAAAAGUCCAAAGAGAAAUGAGGUGUCCGGUAUGGAAGUGCAUCUCAGUCAACAGCCAUCUCCUUUUGCCGAGGCUGGAAAUGGUUUUAACAGGCGGUAAAAUUUCAUCUUGUGGUGUCAAAUUGGGGUCAGUUUGGGGUUAGCGCUCUCAGUGUCCGAGCAGGAGCUGUCCAGCUGUGUGGGGAUUCAUUAAGGGCAAAAGAUCCGUUUCAAGAAAAACAAUACAAAGACAAUCAGAGGGCUAAAGAUCCUCUUCAAAUCGCAUUUUACAAGUGCACCAGAACAAAUAUGGACGCUGAAAUCUAUUCCCUUCAAACUCCCAAAUCGGCUUCUUAGCCCUCGGAGGGAGUGAGAGAGAAAAUCCUCUAAAACUUAAGAAGAGUCUGUUUUCAAUCAGCUUUUCCGAAGUGUGGCAUCUUAGUCCUUUGCUGGCUUUGAGAGAUGCCUCUCUCGCUCGCUUGCUCCCUCUCUCUCUCUCUCUCCUUUUCCACAGCCUUGCAAAAGCGGAUGGCACAACAGGUAAUAUUUCAGAUUUCAAGAAUAUAUUCCACCGGGGAUCUUGAACCACUGUUUUGUAGGCGCGUGUGUGCCUAGCGCAAGAUUUAAUGCAAAUAGAAAGUUUUUUGGGGGAAACAAGCCAUGCUUGCAUGAAAUCCUAUUGGACCCCUUUGGAAAUUUUCUGCACUCUUGUAGGCAACGCUCUGGUCUGAUGGCUAAUUUAGGCUAGAUUUACUUUACAGUUCCUAGAAUUGGUGGAAAGCACCUAUUUGCUAAUCUGGUUUAUUAAAUUCGCGUGGUUUAAAUCCUCUUAGCUUCUCUACAUCUGUUAGAACAAUUGUCGUCUCGCUACGGGGACAAAUAACUUGAACCUUAAUCUUGUUUGUAACUUUAUUCAAUGUUUGUGCGUUGAGUUCAAGCAUUUUUGGAUGAUGCCCUUGUGUUCCGAAACACAUAGGCUACAUUUGCAAGCAAAACUCCCCAUGGACUAAGGCUAAAGAUAUCGCGGAACGCGAUGAAAAAUAUUGCAUAUUUGAAUUGGCUUUUUAUCUCCAACUAUCGUUCUAGGAAAUGUGUCAUAUUUAACGAAGAAGGCAAUGCGCCUGGUAAAAUGUGGCCGGGGGAUUACAUCACUAUGACCCCGUAGUAAAAUCAUCGUGAGUUUUUGUUUUGCUCGUAAGGUAAAGUGCGGGGUGUAGAUAGUACCUUUUCCUUUUUAUAAUCAGGAUUAUGCCACAGUUCAAACUGCUGCUCCCCAAAAAUCACUCUCCACCACACUUUCCUUUGCCUUUACGGUUGAAUCUUAGAACUUGAGUCACUUUUUAUUCUUCUUAGCCUUCGACUUCCCGCAGCUGCCGGACUUUCGAGGUCCCAUCUCGGGUGCCCCUGUGAAGUCACACACAUUUUCGCUUCUGCAGAUAAUUGGGUUCAUUUAGCUCCUCACCCUGGCCCCCCCCGCCUGCCAGUAGGGUACUUCGCUUUUCAGCAAUCUAUUAUUUUUCGAAAAUCUUUCCAGUCCAGAAAGUCAAUGGUAGCCCAUCACGGUGAACUUUUCUUGACCUCAGCUGCGGUGUGACUGAGAUCUCUGGGAGCUGGAUUAGGAGGAAGUUCAUUUACUUACCUGUUAACUUCCCUUUUAACGCUCUUUAUUCCACACCUCCCCCCGUCCUUUAUUUUUUUAAGAAAAAAAAAAAAACAACAACAACAAAACCAAACCAAACAAACAAACACAAACAAACAAAACCCUCUCCACGAAGCAAGAACUAUCCGGGGUCUUUCUCCCCUCGGGAGCCCCUUCCCCCCCGCCGGGCUGCCGGGCUCUAUCCCGGCCUGGCGAGACCCCCCCAGGGCAGCCUCUGCCGGCGGCGGGCAGCGCUCGGUACCGUCAGCAGCGCUCUAGCGCUACCUGGCGGGGCUCCAGCUCGCUCCGCCGCCCCGCGCGGACCCACUCGGGGCUCGGCCUGACGCGGGGAGCGGAGCGGAGCGGGGCCCCGUGUCGGACCCUGUGCCCAGCUCCGCGCCUACGCCUCCCGCGGGGCUUUGCUUGGUCUGGUGUCGUCGCUCCCCGCCAGCCGCCCUGCAUCCCAGCCUACCGGGCGGGCUGUGAGGCGAGGAUCGUGCUGGGAAGGGGCGCAGGGAUGACCCCCCGUUCGCGUUUGUCCGGCUUUCUUCGCGCGCUGGUGUCAGACGAGAGCUGAGCUUUUUGUUUUGUAUGUCUUAGGCUGGGAGGUUUGUAAAAGUGAAGACCAUAAACAACCAACGUGCGUAUUUCCAUCAUAAACCAGAAAGAGAAAAAUACCUGUCAGGGCUUCUCACUAACGCCGUGCAGGCUCCUUCCACAAGGGCAGUUAAAAAUCUAGUUUGCAUUUGUUCGAAGAAGCCCGAAGCAUUAACAAAAUCUAUCUUUCCAAUGUGAUAUCGUAACAAAAAAGACAGUGAGGGCAAAGUAAGUCGCUUUAGUGCAAUAUCAGGGCAUCCGAGACGGCUCCAAACUCUGCUCAGAGCUCUCUGUUUUCACUCACUCAAGAUAUUCACUUUUGUUCUCCAGCUGCAUAUGAAACUCCAGAAGAGGAGCGCUCUCAUUUUUACGCUAGAGUUCUCGGUCCGGAGAGAACAAUAUCCUCCUACCUCUUUUGAAAUGAUACGGAGACUCUCAGAACACAGAAGAGAUCACUCGAAGCACGAAUGUCCUUUUUUUUUUUUUUUUCCCCCAAGAGCUGCUGGGCCCAUUGUUUGAAGUGAGCUCCAGCGCGCAGACCGGAGAGAAAGCGGGGCGGGGGGGGGGGAAAUCUUUGGAGCCUGGCUUGGUGCUGCACAGAGAAAGAGCUGACAAAUACUAGGGCGUUUUUCCUAGAAGUACGUGAUGGGAGCCCGCGGUGUGUUCCCUAAAGAGAGGUUGUACUUUUGUGUGUGUGUGUUUUUGUUGUUGUUUUUAAGAUUGUGAUCACCUUUGCACUUAUUUCUUUUGAUCCCACAAAUAGAAUGCAAUAUAUAUAUGUUUGCUCUCCAUAUAAGAAAAUGCAAGGGACCGUACAAUGAAAUAUACGGCCGGUUAGUCCUCAUAAUGCUUAGUUUUGCUGUAAUUAAUUGAAAACAGUUAUUAGGUCGUCAUUGGCAAUAGCGUAAAUAAUUGCAGCAGAUUUUUACUUAAAAUUGACCGGUCACAGAGUGAUAGAUCGAUUCGAGGUAUAAAAAUGAUGUAUCAAAACAUCAAUGUCGAUUAUUUGAAAUAUUGUAGUCGAAUCUUUUUAUUGCUUCAUCGGUUAAGUGUCUGAAAGUGCUGUGUUCCAACAUAUAUUUAUGUUGUCAAUACUGUCAAAACUGUCAGUUUUAUUACAGUGGAUUUGUAAUACAUUUCGGAUUUGCUCAUUUACAUAAAAUGUCCACCCCAGAUACCCCUCCUUUUCCCCAUCUCUGGAAAUCUGUGUCAGUUUAAUGAAAGGACUCAGGACUCAUAGCUGAAGAAAAAGAAAAAAAAAAUGUGGAGCUAUUGCUCCAUUAGGUCCAAUUUAAACAUCCCUUUGGAAAGCCUGGGCUAUUUCUAACUUCCAUAAGAGGGAAUCCCCCCUCCCCCGCCUCCUUUUUCCCCAGUAGAAUUUAAACACUUUUCUACCCUCACACCUAGAUUAAACCCUUAAUGAGAAUUGAGAGACUGUACAAGGAGACGGAUCCGAGCCAAAGCACACCUGUGAAUGUCGAAACCCUCCCAAAGAGAGCAACAGCCCCCCGAACCGCGCACACAAGCGCGGGGGGUUGGAUCCCGCUAGAAAGAAGGAGACAAAAGGAGCAAUAAAUAUGUGUGUGAUCCUUUCUUAACGGUUUGGAGCCCAAAGCAAAAAGGCGAAUUGGAAGCAGUAUUGGGCAUUUGAUGCCCUCCCGCCCCCAUUUUGUCAGGGUGUGAUUAUUCGCUUUAACUGUAAGCGGCUGAUUUUUUGUUAGCGUGGUCUCAGACACCUCUCUCUAAUUUUCUCCGAAAGCCCAGCUGACGAAUGGAAAAAACUCAGGAAUAAAUAAAUCCAUUCACAGACUAAACUCUCUUCAAUCGAGCAAACAAUGAAAUUAGCCAAGUAACUUUAUUUCUCACCCCACCCCUUUCGGGAGUAUGAGGUUGUUUCAAAGGUGUUGGUAAGAUGGACCGAGGUGUGGGGGAUUUUCUGUCUUUUUUUUUUUUUUCCUUUCUCCUUCCCAGGGAUAUGUAUGUUUAAAGAGAUGCUGAAGAGAUUUCUGAGUUCACGGGGAAGGAGGAAAGGUUGGUUUGGGGAACGGCCCCGCGCCUGGCAGGUAUUUUAAUGACGGUUCUUUCCUUUGAACACUUUCAAUCUCUGCUUCUUUUCAUCCGGAAUAUCUUCCCCAGACCAAGCAUGAUUUCUGCUAUAAUUCUUGUGUGUGUUUGUGAUCCCUUCUGAGGUAAAUUGAGAAGUAAGCUGCGCAAAAGGAGGAAAUCGCCCCUGGGGUGCUUUGUUUACUUUGGUUUGUAAAAUCCUGCUAGGAGAUGCUUUCCUCAGUGUGUGGCAAGUGUUUCUUCAAGAAAUUCAUCAGCCCUUCUACAAUUACUUCGAUCUCCGAGGGAAGAUAGCUGCCAUCACUUUCUCACAUCCCAAGGUGUUGCACGGAGGAGAGAAGAAAAGGCUGGAGCAUUUAAUUAGAAGGGGGUGGGAGGGAGUAGGGGGAACGGUGGCUGCAGAAAAAGGUCCCAAGCCUGUACCUGGAAAAGAAAAAUCUUCAAGUGUAUAUUUGGGAGACGUGUGCCACUUAGAGAUGGGGAAAAGCACCCCAGCUUGUGCAGUAAUUAGGCUGAACAAUAAACAUAAUUGGAAUAAAAUCAGUUGGAAAUUCCUGCGUUUUUAAUUACGUUUCAUUUUGCGGUAAGCCGUAAAAUUAUGAAUGCCUCUCAAUUAAACACUAUCCACUUGUAAAGCAUUUAACAACAAUUAUUCCUUAAUCAGUUGGAAUGUUAGCCACAAAUGAUGCUGUUAAACAUCAAAGGGACGCCUCAGACGUUACCUUUUAGUCAUAAGUAAGAGGAUUAAUUUCUAUAAUUAGAGGGGAUAAAUAUGUGCAUAAAUGCAUCUAAUUUUUUUACACGUUCUCGUCCUAUCUGGGAGACCCGAGGAUCUUUGACAUUGCCUGCACUUUGAGCUCUCCCCCGGAUCAGCGGCAGCGACCCCGGGGGCAGCGAGGUGAGAACACCCCUCCAGGGAGGCCAGAUCUGCGGCCGCGCCGCUCCACCAGCGCCCGCACCCAGCGCCAGCACUGCGGGGAUCGGGAUCGGACUCGCCAUGGACACAGAGCUUCGGGGCAACUUGCAGCCCUCCUUGGCUUUUAUCUACGUUUUUUAUUUUACGGUCCCUGGGGUCUACGUGGUGCUUCAGUUCCCUCGGGGACAAUAUACUGCCCCCAAACGAAGCUCCAGAUUUGAGUUGAAUACCGCAAAUAAAAUUAGCACGACCUUGAUUACA